UUUACUCCAUGUUGAUUUUCCAUCAUCCAAUGAAGAGUUUUAAUGCUUUUGAAGACUCCAAUCCUGUUCAUAAAUGAUUAGAUUUAUUGAUGUCCUUCAACUUCAAAGUCAAACCAUUAUUGUUGACUAGAAUUGAUAAAAGAGUGUAGUCUUAAACCAGCCAUGCAUUUGCACGAAUUUUAGGCCAUAUUAUGGGCCAAAAUGAUUGUCUUGAUCAGUCCAAUAUGAUCCAUUAUCCCUUAUUGGCCAAUGAUCUGAAAUGGUCAUUAAAUUCAUAAUUCUGGACUUCGCAUUGUGGGCUUUGGAGCAUUCUAGUGAAAGACUUGUGCUAAUCAAAUUCUUCAAGGCUUCUUGAAUUUUCUUUCUUCUUGAAUUUGUCAUUGGACCAGCAUUGUUGAUCAAAUUAUCAUCUUCACAAACUUGAGCUUCCUGAUUAGCGACAUUUGAGCUUUUGUGCAUUUGAUCGCUAUCAAGCUCAAUGGUGCACAAU
rnacentral:lncRNA from 1 species